UUUCUCAUUUAUUGAUGAUAUGGAAUUAUUCUUUCGCCUUUUACUAAAGAAUACCAUGUCAGCGUCACAAUUGGCGGCAUACACUAGUUUUUGGGAGAGUCCUCAUUAUUGAUGAU